CCUACGGGAGGCAGCAGUGAGGAAUAUUGGUCAAUGGACGAGAGUCUGAACCAGCAAAGUAGCGUGAAGGAUGACUGCCCUAUGGGUUGUAAACUUCUUUUAUAUGGGAAUAAAAUGUUCCAAGUGUGGGAUUUUGUAUGUACCAUAUGAAUAAGGAUCGGCUAACUCCGUGCCAGCAGCCGCGGUAAUACGGAGGAUCCGAGCGUUAUCCGGAUUGAUUGGGUUUAAAGGGAGCGUAGGUGGAUUGUUAAGUCAGUUGUGAAAGUUUGCGGCUCAACCGUAAAAUUGCAGUUGAAACUGGCAGUCUUGAGUACAGUAGAGGUGGGCGGAAUUCGUGGUGUAGCGGUGAAAUGCUUAGAUAUCACGAAGAACUCCGAUUGCGAAGGCAGCUCACUGGACUGCAACUGACACUGAGGCUCGAAAGUGUGGGUAUCAAACAGGAUUAGAUACCCUUGUAGUC
rnacentral:rRNA from 1 species